CCUACGGGAGGCAGCAGUGGGGAAUAUUGCACAAUGGGGGAAAUCCUGAUGCAGCGACGCCGCGUGAAGGAAGAAGUAUUUCGGUAUGUAAACUUCUAUCAGCAGGGGAGAAAAUGACGGUACCUGACUAAGAAGCCCCGUCUAACUACGUGCCAGCAGCCGCGGUAAUACGUAGGGGGCCAGCGUUAUCCGGAUUUACUGGGUGUUAAGGGAGCGUAGGCGGGUUAGCAAGUCAGAAGUGAAAGCCCGGGGCUCAACUCCGGGACUGCUUUUGAAACUGUUGAACUAGAGUGCAGGAGAGGUAAGUGGAAUUCGUGGUGUAGCGGUGAAAUGCGUAGAUAUUAGGAGGAACCCCAGUGGUGAAGGCGGCUUACUGGACUGUAAAUGACGCUGAGGCUCGAAAGCGUGGGGAGCAAACAGGAUUAGAUACCCGAGUAGUC
rnacentral:rRNA from 1 species